rnacentral:rRNA from 1 species
UGCGUAGGCGGAUUAAUAAGUCAGUGGUGAAAUCUUUCGGCUCAACCGAGAAACUGCCAUUGAUACUGUUAAUCUUGAGUUCGGUUGAGGUAGGCGGAAUGUGUAAUGUAGCGGUGAAAUGCUUAGAUAUUACACAGAACACCAAUUGCGUAGGCAGCUUACUAGACCGACACUGACGCUGAGGCACGAAAGCGUGGGGAGCGAACAGGAUUAGAUACCUGGUAGUCC